UACGGGGGGGGCAAGCGUUGUUCGGAAUUACUGGGCGUAAAGGGUUCGUAGGUGGCCUGCUAAGUCAGACGUGAAAUCCCUCAGCUCAACUGGGGAACUGCGUCUGAGACUGGUGGGCUGGAGUGCAGGAGAGGAACGCGGAAUUCCAGGUGUAGCGGUGAAAUGCGUAGAUAUCUGGAGGAACACCGGUGGCGAAGGCGGCGUUCUGGACUGCAACUGACACUGACGAACGAAAGCCAGGGGAGCAAACGGG
rnacentral:rRNA from 1 species